GUGGGGAAUUUUGGACAAUGGGGGCAACCCUGAUCCAGCCAUGCCGCGUGCGGGAAGAAGGCCUUCGGGUUGUAAACCGCUUUUGUCAGGGAAGAAAUCCUUUGGGUUAAUACCUGGGGCUAAUGACGGUACCGUAAGAAUAAGCACCGGCUAACUACGUGCCAGCAGCCGCGGUAAUACGUAGGGUGCGAGCGUUAAUCGGAAUUACUGGGCGUAAAGCGUGCGCAGGCGGUGCUGUAAGACAGGCGUGAAAUCCCCGGGCUCAACCUGGGAAUUGCGCUUGUGACUGCAGUGCUGGAGUACGGCAGAGGGGGAUGGAAUUCCGCGUGUAGCAGUGAAAUGCGUAGAUAUGCGGAGGAACACCGAUGGCGAAGGCAGUCCCCUGGGCCUGUACUGACGCUCAUGCACGAAAGCGUGGGGAGCAAACAGGAUUAGAUACCCGAGUAGUCC
rnacentral:rRNA from 1 species